rnacentral:rRNA from 1 species
GACGAACGCUGGCGGCGUGCUUAACACAUGCAAGUCGAACGAUGAUGCUGGAGCUUGCUCCAGUUGAUUAGUGGCGAACGGGUGAGUAACACGUGAGCAAUCUGCCCUUGACUCUGGGAUAACUGCGGGAAACUGUAGCUAAUACCGGAUACUUUCACCGGAAGGCAUCUUCUGGUGAUGAAAGAAUUUCGGUCAGGGAUGAGCUCGCGGCCUAUCAGCUUGUUGGUGAGGUAACGGCUCACCAAGGCGACGACGGGUAACCGGCCUGAGAGGGGGACCGGUCAGACUGGGACUGAGACACGGCCCAGACUCCUACGGGAGGCAGCAGUGGGGAAGAUUGCACAAUGGGCGCAAGCCUGAUGCAGAAACGCCGCGUGAGGGAUGAAGGCCUUCGGGUUGUAAACCUCUUUUAGCAGGGAAGAAGCGAAAGUGACGGUACCUGCAGAAAAAGCACCGGCUAACUACGUGCCAGCCGCCGCGGUAA